UAAGUGAAUAGUGAAAUCUGGUGGCUCAACCAUACAGGCUAUUGUUCAAACUGUACAACUUGAGAGUGGUAGAGGUCACUGGAAUUUCUUGUGUAGGAGUGAAAUCCGUAGAUAUAAGAAGGAACACCGAUGGCGUAGGCAGGUGACUGGGCCAUUUCUGACGCUAAGGCACGAAAGCGUGGGAGCGAACCGGAUUAGAUACCCGGGUAGUCCACGCCGUAAACGAUGGAUACUG
rnacentral:rRNA from 1 species